UACGUAGGGUGCUAGCGUUGUCCGGAAUCAUUGGGCGUAAAGAGCGUGUAGGCGGUCCGGUAAGUCCGCUGUGAAAGUCGGGGGCUCAACCCUCGGAUGCCGGUGGAUACUGUCGGGCUUGAGUACGGAAGAGGCGAGUGGAAUUCCUGGUGUAGCGGUGAAAUGCGCAGAUAUCAGGAGGAACACCAAUUGCGAAGGCAGCUCGCUGGGACGUUACUGACGCUGAGACGCGAAAGCGUGGGGAGCAAACAGG
rnacentral:rRNA from 1 species